GAUGAACGCUGGCGGCGUGCCUAAUACAUGCAAGUCGAGCGAACAGAUGAGGAGCUUGCUCCUCUGACGUUAGCGGCGGACGGGUGAGUAACACGUGGAUAACCUACCUAUAAGACUGGGAUAACUUCGGGAAACCGGAGCUAAUACCGGAUAAUAUAUUGAACCGCAUGGUUCAAUAGUGAAAGACGGUUUUGCUGUCACUUAUAGAUGGAUCCGCGCCGCAUUAGCUAGUUGGUAAGGUAACGGCUUACCAAGGCAACGAUGCGUAGCCGACCUGAGAGGGUGAGCGGCCACACUGGAACUGAGACACGGUCCAGACUCCUACGGGCAGCAGCAGUAGGGAAUCUUCCGCAAUGGGCGAAAACCUGACGGAGCAACGCCGCGUGAGUGAUGAAGGUCUUCUGAUCGUAAAACUCUGUUAUUAGGGAAGAACAAAUGUGUAAGUAACUAUGCACGUCUUGACGGUACCUAAUCAGAAAGCCACGGCUAACUACGUG
rnacentral:rRNA from 1 species